rnacentral:rRNA from 1 species
AUGGCAUCUGGUAGUCAGUCGUUCGAAGACAAUGGGAACCCAUCAGAUUUAGCACCCGAGUCACUAAGGAACAUGGGAGAUUUGUCGUCUAGAGUGACGUUACCACCACCUCCACCAUUACCCCAUCAUGCCCCGGGAUCCGAUCAAAUUUCUCUAAUAUAUCAGUGGAUGGAGCAGUCUCGUCGAGAUUCUUUAGAACACCAGAAUAAGUUCAUGGAGCAAAUGUUCGGUAUGAUGAGAGGCCAACUGACUAAAAACCCAGAACAAGGUGUCACGAUUGGAGACUUCCAAAAGACUAGACCACCAACCUUUUCAACCGCCACAGAUCCAUUAGCCGCAGAUGAUUGGUUGAUGGACAUAGAGCUGAAACUUAACACUGUGGGAUGCACGGACCAAGAAAAAGUUCGGUAUGCGUCCCAUCAGUUAAUUGGUCCUGCUGCCACAUGGUGGAGAAAUGUCCAAAUUAUCAUACCCGAAAACCACAUAGUUACUUGGGACGAAUUUAAGAGGAGAUUUCGAGAUAACUACGUCCCGCAAAGUGCGAUGGAAAUAAAGAGGAAGGAAUUCCUGAACCUCAAGCAAGGGUCUAAGACCAUCUCAGAGUACCUAGAUGAGUUUAACUCACUAUCCCGCUAUGCACCAGAGGACACAAACACUGAGACCAAAAAGUUGUACCGGUUCAUAGAAGGAUUGAACCCGUCCAUACAGCUUAUUAUAGCUCCUAUAAAAAUAACCGAGUUUCGGGAACUAGUAGACCGACUCAUUACAAUUGAGAACCGGCAAAUCGCCGUAGAGGAAGAGCGAAGGAAGAAAGCUAGGAUGGACCCAAGGUUUGCCAUGAGAAGUGGGAAUCAUCCGGUUGGCCUAGUCCGCGUGCCAAUGGUCGGGCCCAUCCGUCCUCCUUUCCGUCAAGCUCCUAGACCACCUUUUAUGCCUCUGAGAGCCCCUAUCAAAUGUCACGUGUGCAGUGGACCACACUUGGCUCGAGAUUUCCCAAAGGCGAGUGUUGUCUGUUUUGGUUGUGGACAAAAGGGACAUUACAAAAAUCAAUGCCCAAGCAAGGGUCAACCACAAUCUAGCACAAAUGGAGCUAUUCCACCUCAAAAUAAGCGCCAGGCUAAUUCAGCACAAGUACAUGGGAGUGCGUCCACUGCCAACCGCGGGCGUGGUCGUGGCGGUCUUGCACAUGGACCAUUCUGUUUGGCACAUAUGGAUGUGGACUAG